CCACCAGAUUCCAUAGAAUGUACUUGUUGAUCGCGACGUAAACUCAGAAUAGACCUCCCAAAAGUUGAAAAAUCUGUUGCUGGCAUAUCUUAAAAUUUUACAUGAAACAAUCAAACACCCAAAACAAAUCUUGAAAUUCAAACCAAAAAGAUCAAAUUCCCAAAUAACUAAAUGAUCAAACAAAGAUGAACCAUUCAAUAUUUUCCUCAGCUGAUCAAAACCCACAAAAUGAAAACAGCCCAAUACCAAAAAUCGAAACUUCAAACAGAAAUUAGUAUAACCCCACGAAAAUUCUUCACUACAACAACCUAACUAUGAUCAAGAAUUGAUAGAAAUGAUUUGAAAUUGACAAAAUGAAAACAACCCAAUACAAAAAAUCAAAACUUUAAACAGAAAUUAGUGUCCAGCCCACAAAAGCUCUUCACUACAACCACCUAUCUAUGAUCAAGAAUUGAUAGAAAUGAUUUGAAAUUGACAAAAUGAAAACAACCCAAUACAAAAAAUCAAAACUUUAAACAGAAAUUAGUGUCCAGCCCACAAAAGCUCUUCACUACAACCACCUAU
rnacentral:misc_RNA from 1 species